GUGUGUGUGAGUGUGUGUGCGUGUGAGUGUGUGUGUCUGUGUGUGUAUAUUUGUGUGUGUGUGAUGUAUUGUGUUCCAAGCAGGUUUGGCACGACUCUUUAAAAGAUUUGGUUAUUCUUAUUUUUCAAGCCAGAGUUGCUGGCAGUUGGCUGACGUCAGACAAAAUUGCUCAAACGCAGCAGAUUUUAAAAAUAGGGCCGUGGUGGUGUUAAGACAAUAAUAAUAGAAAAUUUGGGGUAGUUGUAGGCUGAUGUGAAGCUCCCAAGAUAGGGCCUGGGCCUCUGCCUCACGCUUCCUAAGUGAAUUCUCACUUCCGGAUGCCCAGCACUUCUCCCACUCUCCUCCUCAGUGAUGGAGGAGGAGGAGACGGGUAAUUGGAGUGGGCUGAGUAACAGUCUGGCUUGUCGAGUCAAGCUGUGCAAUGUACCCAUUCUGGCCUCAGUUGGCUCUUGCGGCUAGAUUCUGGCAGAGUCCAAAGCUAAGCUGAAACGGCACAUCUGAGCUGCGAGGUCUGCGGGGAGCCUCCCCCUCCCCCAAAUAAAAGCUUGCUUUGUCUGGCCUAAGUGACCCUUGACUUCUUGAUUUUUGCAACUCUAUCUACUGUUCAAGGAACAGAGGCCCAGCAGCAGGGCAUGAGAUUAGGAAGCAAGGGCAAUUCUCAGGUCAAAGUAGAUAUUCUCAAGCUGGAUUCAGAGAAACCCAAGGAUCGUAGACAGGCGUUUUAGUGACCCCUGAAAGGGCUACACCUGCUUCACCUAGGGAAUUGAUUUUAUUUAUUGUCAGGAGUUGGUUUCCAUGAGAUUGUUUGGGGAAAGACUAGAAUUAAUCUUUCAAUAAAUUCCAGUAAAUUCUGCUUCUGACCUAACCCCUCCUCCACUGAAUUCAAUAUCUCCCCCUGAUUUUAACAGCUCAGGGAUGAGACCCUGGGGUCAGAACAGACACUCUGAUGCUCUUAUCCUCGCCUUAUUCGAAAUCACUGUGUUCUAGGUCCAAUAUGGGAGACAGUGGCUAGCCUGCUCCAAGCUACCCUGGUGAUAACUCCGGGACUUGAUUAAACUGAAGGGAAAGAGUACAUUUGGAAAUUUCUCCCAUCUCAUGAAGCUUCCACAUGCGCACUGAAGCUGCAUCUUCUGGAAUCUCUGGGGACCUUAAAAGAGACCCCUUUAACCAACACCAGUCCCUGGGCCCUGGAGAUUGAAAGGGACACACAUAGCUCUGUACCAGCUGACAUGUAAUUUCAGGUUGUGAGGCAAAGCUCUCUGUUCUUAGCUUGGAGCAGAGAGCAGAAAGAUCACUGAACUAUUCAGAUCCCGAUAAGAAAAAUGGAUUUGUUAGUGACUGCCCAGUCCUCCGAGAACAGCCAUGAUAUCUUGCUUGCAGUAAAUUCUCUGAACACCACUUGUCUAGGUGGAAAAAGAAAACGUAUUGAUUGUUAACAUUUACUGAGGAUGUAUAUUCUAGGUGCUAUUUUAAACUCCUUCCACAAUUAGCUGGUUUAACUCUCCCCAGGCUGGGUGACAGUGUUCUUACAUUAGGUGAACAUCUGUAAUAAAGAUGGGGGAAACUGAGUCACAGAGAAGUUAGUUUGUGUGCUGACAUGGGUGUGAACUCUGUCCUGAAGCGCACAGAACUUGGUGUGCUUUCUACCUGUCUACACGCAUUCUUUUCUAUUGCAAGCCCUGCCAACCUUCUCUCUGUGAGGUUUCCUCAGGUCUGUGGUGGCUGGAUCAAUACGUGUAUACAAAGACAGGACAAAUGCCACUUAAAACAACAGCAUUGACAUUCUUCAUCAUUCAAACCCUGGCUGGAUACUGUUCACUGGUCUCCCCAUCUCCUCCCAGCUAACUCUCUCCCUCUCGAGACAGAGGUUGGUCAGAGUCUGAGUCAUGCAGAGCAUCUGAAACCAUCAAGGUGGCAGGUCCUUGUCAGGCGUUGAUGUGCCAUGCUCUGAGAGCACAUCCCCAGACAGCAAACGCCGAUUUCAGAAAAUGCAAAAUUUGCUUUUUGAUAAAGACAACGUUGUCCCUGUCUACAAAUGUUUCUAGCCCUCAGCCUUGAAUCCUUCCUACGUGGACACUUGAGGAACAUGGUGUCUCUAAGCCUCCCAGCUCUUCUGGCGACCUUCCUCCCUAUCUUCAAGGUGCUGUGUCUCUGUCAUGCAUCCAUUGGCCACUCCAGCACAGGAAGUCUUAUGUUUCCUUUACUUGUCUCACGAGGGCUUGUUUCCUCAUCCAGAGAGCAGAACCUCUGUGAACACCUGAAGUUCCCAGAAAAAUGUCAAAUCGUGGUCUACAUUCUUAUGAGUUUUUUUUCUUCUCCUCCAUUUAUGUGUGUGCUGCUUAUGUAUGCAUGUGUGUAGGCCCAUGCCCACCUCUCUGAAGGCCACAGGAAGAUGUUGGAUGACCUGCUACCAUUCUCCCUUUGUAGUUUGAGAUGGAGUCUCUCCCUGAACCUAGAGCUAGGCUAGGCUAGCAGGCAACAAUCCCUAGUGACUCUCCUGUCAGGCUCCUUUAGUACUAGGGUUGUAAGUAUGAGCAUGAGAAUGGCCGACUCUUUACAUGGAUGCCAGGGAUUUAAACUCAGGUCUUCAUGUUCGUAUAUCAAGUGCCCUGACAUUAGAGACGUCUCUACAAUCUCUCUUAGAGGCUUUGUUUGUUUGUUUUUUAAUUAUUUAUGUUUUUAGUUGUGAGCCUAGUCUUUAAUGGCUGAGCAAUCUCUCCAGCCUGAGACUUUGCAUUUAGGGUAUGUGUCUUUAGAGCUCACAUCCCUCUCUCUCUCUCUCUCUCUCUCUCUCUCUCUCUCUCUCUCUCUCAUAUCUAUCUAUCUAUCUAUCUAUCUAUCUAUCUAUCUAUCUAUCUAUCUAUCUAUCUAUCAAAUGCUUUAGAAGCUUCUGAGCUUGGCACUGCGGUAACCUUCAGUAGGAAGUAGUCAUGCUGCCAUUGUGAGCUUUCUUAUCUGCCCUCCAGAGGACACCUUUCUGUGGAGUUGGCCCUCUAUCCCAUACUCCUUUGCUGUGACAACUCUAGUAAAUGAACCCACCAUCCACAGCAGAUACAUACAUUUUUCUUUUUGGUUUCUUUUUUGCCAAGCUAUUUAGUUGCCUUUAUCCAUCACUGGAGUUUUCCUACUGCCCUGCUUGGCUCAGCAGUUGGACAGACUCUAUAUGGUAGCCCGGUGUUGGCAGAGAAGAUGGCUUGACACGCCAUCUCUCAUCAGCCCUACACCUGUCCACCUUCGGUUUCAGCCACUGACUUCUCCCUGAGGGCAGAAGUCAUUCUCCUGCUAGAGCUCCAACCUUUCAACACUCAGCAUUUACUACAGCCGUUAUUCAUGCCACCUCCUUGGGCAGGGUGUGGUUGCCCUUCCAGUCUGCUAGAUAAGCCCAGUAUUAUCACCUAUAAGGAUAGGCUGCUGGCGAUCAGUGCCCUGAGGGCAGACUUUCCAGAAGGUGACACCUUUGCUAGUCUCUGCUUAUAUCUGGGAGGUGGUGAGAGCCACAGCAAAGCUGCUCAGAGUGACAGUCCAAACCACAGUGACCCACACUUUGCCUGUGAUGGCCUUACACAGUAGCAGGUUUUCAACAGCAUAAGUGCUCAGAGCCAGGCGUGGUCAAGCAUGAGGUUCCUGAAGCCAUACUUACAUUAGACUCUGGGUACCAAACAAGAAAGAGACUCCACAUCAAAUUACAGCAACCAUAGCGGGUGUUGGUCACUGGUUACUGGCUUCUUCUCCAUUGUCUUUAUAGCUUUGGGCUACACUCAAUUCAUCCUCAGGAUGAGGACUAGAGUUAAGCUUUUGGAAGGUAAGAGUUAAACCAGCUCUUUGGUCACUGUCACGAGGCCUCAUGCUAUAUAAAGGGUCUUUGGGACAUUCAGCUUUUCCUCUUCCUCAUUUCCUCCUCCCCUCGAUCUUGUUUUCUCCCUAGGGUAUGGAUGGUUUUGGAGCCGGUAUGAUUAACUUCACUUGGGCUACAAUCUCAGGAAGGAAUGGAAUGGAAAUCAUUUUUGGAAUAUAAAUCAAAGAGGCUGUGUUCACGAUGCUCUCUACGAGUGUUUGGGGUGAUCUGAAUAACUCGGUCUUGAGAACCCGUUGAGGACGCAGUGACGGCAUCCUGUGUGCUUUGCUGUCCUGAGAGUUGCUCAGACAGUGUGACGAAAAUGUCUCCCUUGAGAGGAGAUGGAUGGAACCAGGUAAUGGCAGGAGGGGAGUAGAAGGGCAGGGGAGGCAGCACACACCCUGCUUGAUGAAGGGGAGCUGCUGAGGACACCGAGGGGGAGGAGGAGGGGGAGUCUAGGGACCCGGGGACUGCAGGGCCCCAGUAUCCCAUCUAAGCAGGGGGAAUGUCUAAGCACAGUUCUGGGGACACCUCCUGGAAGCAGGAGAAGCAAACAGUCUACAGGGCUGGGGAACAAUCUGGGGAGAGUGUUUAAUGAACCCCCUGAAUAUUAGGGUCUCAACUGUCUCCUCAGGAUCCCGCAGGACCUUAGGUUCUCCACUUGGGAAGGCUUAUGCCAACCACAGAAUCAAAGGGACAAUGGCAAACUACCUUGAAAGGAGAACCGCCCACCAGCGAGCCUCGGCCUGCACAGCAGAGUCUCGGGAACACACUGUUCUCUUUGUUGGAGCAGAAAUCUGUUCAGUGUUGAUUAUGCAGGCCGAUGAGUGGGCCUCUCUCAUUUUUUCCUCUAAUCUGGAGUCCUACUCAGCGGGCACAAUCGCAGACAAACGAUCCUGGAAACAGAAUAAGCUUUCUUGCCAUCCCUUGUUCUGGAGGCACUGGGAGUGCCUGCAGUUCCAGGUAGAAACAUGCCACUGACUAGACUUCAGGACCUCUGAGUCCCAGCCAGGGGACCUCACAACAUGGAAAGAAUGCCCUUCUGACCUGCCUACAACGAUGGAAUCCGGUGCCCAGGAGAGAGCAGCAGACUGUCCUCAGAGGAAGACGUUCGUUUUCCAAACUCAGGUGAAGUUUUAAAAGCCACCACGCUAAAAGGCGUGUUCAAAACAAAUCACUCACUGCUUCUGGUUUGGGAUGUUGGCCUCCAAGGCGGUGGAUGGAAAUGUUCCUUUUCCUGACAGGGAUGUAUGCAACAGAGGUCGGCACAGGUCCAUGCAAGACUGAUUGAAUCGCAUGCCUUAGAUCUGGACUUAUUUCUGUAUAAAAGUUAUAAAAAGAAUUCUGUUUAGAGGAGUUUCAGGCCAUCUGUCAGGGUAAGGUAAGAGAUGCAGGUCAGAGAACUUUCUGGAUAAGAAUAGCAACGUUGUAAAGAUAUAAAAAUAGUUUUGCUAUUUGGAAAGGGUAACGCAAAAGAUUAGUAAAUAAAAAAAAUCUAAUUAUUUAAAUUCUUUUGUCAAUCCGUGCUUUCAACCCAGACAUCAGGGAGGACAUCAGGUACAGCGCUGAGACACUAAUGAACGGAAUAAGUUUGAUCCAGGGUGGUGCCCUGCAUGUUCACAUUGCAGGACUAUUUCCACGCUGUCAGCCCUAACUUUACACAGUCUGCCUGGGCUGGAUCAGCCCUAUCCUCACAAAGCAGCGGUCCCCACAGGGCCUUGAAGCCAGGCUCCCAUCAAUGUGGAUGACUCCAAGCCACAGACCCAGAGGAGCUCAAAGCCCAUCAAGAGACAGAACCCAAGCUCUCCAUCCAGCCUGCAAAUGAAAGCUGGUUCACAUGACCCUGUGGGGAGGCUCUAGGUAUCUGUGGCACGAGUCUGGACCAGCAGCCUCUCUGAGACUCAGAGUGACUUCUGCAUCUCAGAUCUCCAAGAUGACCCGGUUCAUCCCGGGACUGCUGCCCCUAAACUAGUACAGGAAGCAAUUUGAGCUCAUCAAGACGGUUACAGCACGCCCAGGCCUGGAGAUGCUCUGUGGCAGACAAGCAGAUGCCAGUUCCACUUCUGUUCUCAGGGAAAAAGCGGCAUAAUCAUGAUUUAUCAAGACAUUCAUAUCUCGUGAAGUGUGUCAGAGUGCAGCCUUGGGCAGUGGACUCAGAGGGGCCUUUCUAUGCCACAUGUGUGAUCCCCCUCCCCUCCAUUUCCAAACUGAAUGAAAAAGAUGUGGGGUUGAGAAAUUGGGCUUUUAAAAAUUAUACUUCCAAACAUACAAGUGUCCAGUUUCGAAAGCAAAACAAACAAACAAACAAACAAACAAACCAACCUAGACAAUUCCCAAAAUAUCAAAUAGGUUCUUAAAUCAGAAAAAGUAUGUUAAAGGGACCCCUGAGUCACAUCAACAUCCUGUGGUCACUGUUGGGCAUUUCUUCAACUUUCAAGAGGGGGAUGAGGGGCGGGGGAUGGGGAGGGAGAAGAAGGUGGUAAUUAGUGGUCUCUAAGCAGUGAGGACAUGGCUUUCCUGAUGCUGAUUGCAGCUGUCAGAAACACAAAGCUAGGACUUAAUAAAAUGCAACCAGGUGGAAGUGUAAAUUCACAAAGCAUAAAGCAUCAGAUGCACCAACACAAGCAGGAACCACGGUGGGAAGCAAAACGUUCUUCGUACCUCGCAAUACUUAACCUGCAGCUUUAUUCUCUCUACCCUUUCUUCUGACUCGUGAAGAGUUCUUCACGUUCUUCCUAGACUUCAGAUGUCUGCUGCUUACCUCAAUUCUCCCUCUCCAUGAAGACAUCCGGGACAUCUGCCUCUGGGCAUCCUUGGCUACCAUGAAUGUAUCCCACUGUGUCCUUCCUUGCUGGUGCACUAAGUACCUUCUCCUUCCUUUCUGCCUCCCUGGCCAUGCUGGGAAAUGCUACAAAGAGAGAUCCUCAGUCACUGCUAACUCUUUGGUGGAAAGCUCACGCUCAGCUGACUGGUGAAGGGGGCAGCGAUAAGAAUUUGCAGGUACAAGAGCAUCACCUGGAGCAAGAUUCUUAUAGUGCUGAGUCUGAAAUAAACACACUCAACAAACCAGGAGGCUAGCGUGCCUAGUGAAAACCAAUGUGUCCUACUGAUAUGUUCUCUGAACCUCAACAAGUCAUCUAGACGCAGCACAUGGGAGAAGAUGUGGCACAACCACAGCAAGGUUGCUACACCGCUUUGGUACCCUUACUCACUAGGACAUGGCCCAGGCCUGUAGAGUCAGGAUGUCAGAGCCUCCUUUGGCUUUCAUGAGCUUAGGGUCUGCUCCAAGUCCCUGCUGCCUGAAGAUCUGUAUCUUGAUGAGUAUGGAAAUGGCACACUUGUUACUCUAGCGUCCAGAAGACUGAACAGGAAGCAGAGGAUUUCCAUAAGUUUGAAACCUGCUUGGCCUAUACAGUAGGACCCUGUCCAAUUCUAAGGAGGUGUGUGUGUGUGUGUGUGUGUGUGUGUGUGUGUGUGUGUGUGUAUGUAUGCAUGUAUGUGUGUGUUUCUCUGUGUGUAAACCCAUGUAAAAAUAUAGACACACACAACACACAGAACAUGUGUGUUCAGAAGACACCUCAGGUGCCCUUCCUCAAGUCUACCUUGACACAGGGUCUCUUGUUCUGCUGCUGCACAGAAGCCAGCUACCUGUGUGCUUCUGAAGAUUCUCUUAUUUCUGCCUUCUGUCUCCUCAUAGAUAUGUGCUGUUGCCCUCAGCUUUAUGUGGGUUCGGGGAUCAUAGUUUAGGUCCUCAUGCUUGUGGAACGAGAUCUUUACCACCAUCCUCACCUAACCCCUCCCAAACCAUUUUAUGAGACCCUCCAAGGAGUUGGAUUUCUCAGACUGGAUAAUUUUGAUUAUCCCAGAGCCCAGGGAAUAUCAUCAGACCUUCCAGCUACAGCUGUCUAACAACCCUGAAGCAAGAAAAUCAACACCAAGACCAGAAGUCCCAAUUUACACCAGAAGAGACAGGCCCGUGAGUGGAAUCCUAAAAGCCACAUAUAGCAAACCAGUCGCUAACAUUAAACUAAAUGGAGAGAAAC
rnacentral:sRNA from 1 species